CCCAGAACACUGAAGUCUUGUGUUUAUCUACAGAACAGGUACAGCACAUGAAAUAGCAAUGCAAUCUUCCCUGUGCUGACCUGCCAAUAUGCCUCAGUUCUCUCUUUAGAAAGACAAGGUGGGUGGGGUAAUACCUUUUAUUGGACCAACUUCUGCG
rnacentral:sRNA from 1 species